UUUCAUUGAUACUGGAUUGUGCUAGGUACGCAGCUAGGUGUGUUCAUCUAUAUAUCCAGCGUCCAAAACAGGAAGAGGUAGAGUCAAAACAUAUGGGGCACAUGAUAAUCAUCUGGUGACACCGUGAAAUAUUAACCUAGAUCAACAUCCACGGACAUAAUCACAUGCAUAAAAAGAAAAAAAAAAAUCACACCUUGAUCUCAAAAGCGUCAAAGGAGUUGAUGAUAUGGGCAAAGGUACAAGCUCGAGGGUCGGUGAAUGCCACUACUGAUGGAACUGUAGAGAACUAUACUCCACAGUCCCCGGCCAGCUCACACAACCAAAGUGAUCAGCAAUAACAAAGAAAACCAUUAAAAGUACCAUGGACUCAGUUUUAUGGGGACAAAAAAUUGUUAUAGAUAUGGAGAGUUUAAGGACUUCUUAAAACAAAUCAUUAUUAUUCUAGGUAAUAUAUAUAGGUUGAUGUUAUUAACACACCAUUUUUUGUUAAUAACAUACUAUAUUUAUUUUCCUAUCUAUAUAUUUCAAUUUUAUUUACAAACUUGUCACUUGAAUUUGUUUCAUGAUUAACUCUUAUCAUAGAUGAGGUUGUUAAUAACAAAAAAAGAUUUGCUAAUAACACCAAUAUAUACA
rnacentral:lncRNA from 1 species